rnacentral:lncRNA from 1 species
UGACCAAUGAUUGAACAACUAUAACAUCAUAAAUAUUUAAUUAUUAUUUUUAAUUUUAUUAUAUUAUAUUAUUUUUAAUAUCAUAUUUAAUUAUAAAAUAUUAUUUUUUAGAUUAAAUUAUUUAGAUAUAAGUUUUUAAGUCCACUAUUUAUAAGGCUAAUUUAUGCUAAUAAAAAAUAAAAUCAACUAAGUUGAUUUCAAGCCGUUGGAUUUAAUAUGAUUUGAUAAAAAAAAACCGAUUCGAUUAAAAGUGAAUCAGUUUAUUAGUUCUAUGGUUGAAUCGUCGGUUCGAAUGAUUUAAAGCAGUUUUUAGAUUUAUCCAGUUUAAAAAGUUAAACCGCAUUAUUUUAUAGACUGGAUCACAAUCGAACGAGUUGAAUUGGCCGAUUCGAUCCGAUUUUUAAAUCAUUGUCUAGAUCAUAAUUAGUUAAUUCGGAUUCGACAAAAAUUAGGUACAGAUAUAAUACGAAUAAAAUUCAUAUUCCAAUUUUUAGAUUCGUUAAAAAAUACAGUUUAAAAAACAGAUUCGUCAAUUAUUUAGAUACGCGAUUUAUACGAAAAUUAUACUUUCACCGAUUAAUAAUUCGGAAUAAAAAAUUGGGCUAUUAAAUUCUUCCUCCCCAAC